AGAGAGAGACAUGCGCGCAUAUCAAUAAGCGGAGGAAAAGAAACUAACAAGGAUUCCCUUAGUAACGGCGAGUGAAGCGGGAAGAGCUCAAAUUUGAAAUCUUCAAGGUUUUACCUUGACGAAUUGUAGUUUAAAGAAGUGUUUUCUGCUGAAGUUUUGGUAAAAGUUCUUUGGAAUAGGACAUCAUAGAGGGUGAGAAUCCCGUAUUUGACCAUUAUUUUCAGCUUUGUGAUACACUCUCAAAGAGUCGGAUUGUUUGGGAAUGCAGUCCAAAAUGGGUGGUAAAUUUCAUCUAAAGCUAAAUAUUGGCGAGAGACCGAUAGCGAACAAGUACCGUGAGGGAAAGAUGAAAAGAACUUUGAAAAGAGAGUUAAACAGUACGUGAAAUUGUCAAAAGGGAAGCGUUUGACACCAGUGUUGUUUUCUCGAAAAUCAAUUAAAAAUGGCUCGAUUUUGUAUUGCUUGAGACCUUAAAAGCUCACUGUACAUUUUUCGUGUCUUUUUUAAUGCACUUUUCGUUUAACAAGUCAACAUCAGUUUCUUUUGUUGUAAAAGGGUCAUUGGAAGGUGGCUUUCUUUUCGGAGAAAGUGUUUAUAGCCUUUGGCCUCUGCAAUCGGAGAGACUGAGGUCUGCAGCGUAGACUCUUCGGGGUUAGAUACAUUUGUGCUAAGUUAUAGCUUUUUAUAGACAACUUGUUGACUAUAAUUAGUCUUGUAGCUUACUCGCUUAUGCUAUUUUACCUACGCUUAGGAUGUUGAAGUCAUCGUAUCGCGC
rnacentral:rRNA from 1 species